rnacentral:rRNA from 1 species
AGAGUUUGAUCCUGGCUCAGGACGAACGCUGGCGGCGCGCCUAACACAUGCAAGUCGAACGAGCGAGAGAGAGCUUGCUUUCUCGAGCGAGUGGCGAACGGGUGAGUAACGCGUGAGGAACCUGCCUCAAAGAGGGGGACAACAGUUGGAAACGACUGCUAAUACCGCAUAAGCCCACGACCCGGCAUCGGGUAGAGGGAAAAGGAGCAAUCCGCUUUGAGAUGGCCUCGCGUCCGAUUAGCUAGUUGGUGAGGUAAUGGCCCACCAAGGCGACGAUCGGUAGCCGGACUGAGAGGUUGAACGGCCACAUUGGGACUGAGACACGGCCCAGACUCCUACGGGAGGCAGCAGUGGGGAAUAUUGCACAAUGGGGGAAACCCUGAUGCAGCGACGCCGCGUGGAGGAAGAAGGUCUUCGGAUUGUAAACUCCUGUUGUUGAGGAAGAUAAUGACGGUACUCAACAAGGAAGUGACGGCUAACUACGUGCCAGCAGCCGCGGUAAAACGUAGGUCACAAGCGUUGUCCGGAUUUACUGGGUUUAAAGGGAGCGUAGGCCGGAGAUUAAGCGUGUUGUGAAAUGUAGACGCUCAACGUCUGCACUGCAGCGCGAACUGGUUUCCUUGAGUACGCACAAAGUGGGCGGAAUUCGUGGUGUAGCGGUGAAAUGCUUAGAUAUCACGAAGAACUCCGAUUGCGAAGGCAGCUCACUGGAGCGCAACUGACGCUGAAGCUCGAAAGUGCGGGUAUCGAACAGGAUUAGAUACCCUGGUAGUCCGCACGGUAAACGAUGGAUGCCCGCUGUUGGUCUGAAUAGGUCAGCGGCCAAGCGAAAGCAUUAAGCAUCCCACCUGGGGAGUACGCCGGCAACGGUGAAACUCAAAGGAAUUGACGGGGGCCCGCACAAGCGGAGGAACAUGUGGUUUAAUUCGAUGAUACGCGAGGAACCUUACCCGGGCUUGAAUUGCAGAGGAAGGAUUUGGAGACAAUGACGCCCUUCGGGGCCUCUGUGAAGGUGCUGCAUGGUUGUCGUCAGCUCGUGCCGUGAGGUGUCGGCUUAAGUGCCAUAACGAGCGCAACCCCUCUCCUUAGUUGCCAUCAGGUUAAGCUGGGCACUCUGGGGACACUGCCACCGUAAGGUGUGAGGAAGGUGGGGAUGACGUCAAAUCAGCACGGCCCUUACGUCCGGGGCUACACACGUGUUACAAUGGCAGGUACAGAGAGACGGUUGUACGUAAGUACGAUCAAAUCCUUAAAGCCUGUCUCAGUUCGGACUGGGGUCUGCAACCCGACCCCACGAAGCUGGAUUCGCUAGUAAUCGCGCAUCAGCCAUGGCGCGGUGAAUACGUUCCCGGGCCUUGUACACACCGCCCGUCAAGCCAUGAAAGCCGGGGGCGCCUAAAGUCCGUGACCGUAAGGAGCGGCCUAGGGCGAAACUGGUAAUUGGGGCUAAGUCGUAACAAGGUA